rnacentral:rRNA from 1 species
CCUACGGGAGGCAGCAGUGGGGAAUAUUGGGCAAUGGGCGCAAGCCUGACCCAGCAACGCCGCGUGAAGGAAGAAGGCUUUCGGGUUGUAAACUUCUUAUAGAGCGAGGAAGAAAGUGA